UACGUAGGGUGCAAGCGUUGUCCGGAAUUAUUGGGCGUAAAGAGCUCGUAGGCGGUCUGUCGCGUCGGCUGUGAAAUCCCCGAGGCUCAACCUCGGGUCUGCAGUCGAUACGGGCAAACUGGAGUGUUGCAGGGGAGACUGGAAUUCCUGGUGUAGCGGUGAAAUGCGCAGAUAUCAGGAGGAACACCGGUGGCGAAGGCGGUUCUCUGGGCAUUACCUGACGCUGAGGAGCGAAAGUGUGGGGAGCGAACAGG
rnacentral:rRNA from 1 species